rnacentral:rRNA from 1 species
AUUGAACGCUGGCGGCAGGCCUAACACAUGCAAGUCGAGCGGAUGAAGGGAGCUUGCUCCUGGAUUCAGCGGCGGACGGGUGAGUAAUGCCUAGGAAUCUGCCUGGUAGUGGGGGAUAACGUCCGGAAACGGGCGCUAAUACCGCAUACGUCCUGAGGGAGAAAGUGGGGGAUCUUCGGACCUCACGCUAUCAGAUGAGCCUAGGUCGGAUUAGCUAGUUGGUGGGGUAAAGGCCUACCAAGGCGACGAUCCGUAACUGGUCUGAGAGGAUGAUCAGUCAUACUGGAACUGAGACACGGUCCAGACUCCUACGGGAGGCAGCAGUGGGGAAUAUUGGACAAUGGGCGAAAGCCUGAUCCAGCCAUGCCGUGUGUGUGAAGAAGGUCUUCGGAUUGUAAAGCACUUUAAGUUGGGAGGAAGGGCAGAAAGUUAAUACCUUGCUGUUUUGACGUUACCAACAGAAUAAGCACCGGCUAACUUCGUG